rnacentral:lncRNA from 1 species
CCUGCAAGUGCAUAGAAGUCAAAAAUUGAGGUUUGGGAUCCUCUGCCUAGAUUUCAGAGGGUGUAUAGAAAUGCCUGAUGUCCAGGCAGAAGUCUGCUGUAGGGGCAGGGCUCUCAUGGAGAACCUCUGCUAAGACAGUGCAGAAGGGAAAUGUGUGGUCAGAGCCCCCACACAGAGUCCUUUCCUGGGGCACUGCCUAGUGGAGCUGUGAGAAGAGGGCCACCAUCCUCCAGACCCCAGAAUGGUAGAUCCACCUACAGCUUGCAAAUUGUGCACCUGGAAAAGCCACAGACACUCAAUGCCAGCCCACUAAAGCAGCCAAGAGGGAGACUAUACCCUUCAAAGCCACAGGGGCUAAGUUACCUAAGACCAUGGGAACCCACCUCUUGCAUAAAUGUGAUCUGGAUGUGAGACCUAGCAUCAAAGGAAAUCAUUUUGGGGCUUUAAGAUUUGACUGCCCCAUUGGAUUUCAGACUUGCACGAGGCCUGUAGCCCCUUCAUUUCAGCCAAUUUCUCCCAUUUGGAAUGGCUGUAUUUACCCAAUGAUUGUAUCCCCACUGUAUCUAGGAAGUAACUAACUUGCUUUUGAUUUUACAGGCUCAUAGGCAGAAGGGACUUGCCUUGUCUCAGAUGAGACUUUGGACUGUAGACUUUUGAAUUAAUCCUGACAUGAGUUAAGACUUUGAGGGACUGUUGGGAAAUCAUAACUGGUUUUGAUAUGUGAGGACAUAAGAUUUGGAGGGGCCAUGGGUGGAAUGAUAUGGUUUGGCUUUGUCCCCACCCAAAUCUCAUCUUGAAUUGUAACUCCCACAAUUCCCACAUGUCAUGGGAGGAACCCAGUAGGAGGUAACUGAAUUAUGGGGGUGGGUCUUUUCCCGAGGUUUUAAAAAAACGGGAGGUUCACUGCACAAGCUCUCUCUCUUGCCUGCUACCAUCCAUGUAAGAUGUGACUUGCUCCUCCUUGCCUUCUGCCAUGAUUGUGAGGCCUUCCCAGCCAUGUGGAACUGUAAGUUCAUUAAACCUCUUUCUUUUGUAAAUUGCCCAGUCUUGGGUAUGCCUUUAUCAGCAACAUGAAAAUGGAUGAAUACACCUUGCUUUCCAAAGAAAACAUUGUUUCAACCAAAUCCCACUCCUACCAUCAAUUGUUGUGAGGAUUGUGUGUCCUCCUUCCUUAGUUCAGAGUCCUCCAAAAGAAGACACUGAGACCAGGUUUCAAGGGUAAGUAGAUUGUCUUGGAGGUGACGUCAGAAACCACUGAUGGAGAAGUGACAAAUGAGACAGAAAGGGAAGGAAUUGAUGACAGGGAAUCUCAGGUGAAAAAAACCUCAGGACUAUCCCACCCAAAUAGCAUGGAAGAGUGAGUAUCAUAUAGCAACUCCCUGAAAGAGUUGUGAACUCCCUUCCAUUUCUGCCCUGCUGGAUGGGAAGAAAAGCGGGUCCUGGUAGCUAAGGAAAUCCCUCAGGCAAGAAGAUAUGUGUGCUGCCAACUGGAAGUUGGGCCAGAGAACAUGGAAGUGGUGAAGGCAGGGCAUAGACAGCAUCCACAGCUCAUAUCCAGUCAUUCUCUCAAAGGGACUUCCAUCACAAGAUCUUAUCUAGUGCAGUUUAUUAGAAAAGCAUAUGAAAAGGCUUUCAAAUUAUUAAUAAGAAUUCUUAUAGAAAUGUUCAUCUGUGUCAGGCACCAUAUUUCUGGCUGGGUGAACAUAGAUGUCCUUUACUAUCAAAUUCCAUGGGGCCCAUGAGAAGAGAAUGCAGGACCAGCCAGAUGGCUCAUGCCCAUUGCCAUUUUUACUUUGCUUCUAUGUUACAAGCUGACAAUUUUGCUCUGUGUGUACUGUAAAAUAGCAGACAUUUUCCAAAUUUUGCUCUGGCUUACACUGUUCCUUUUUGCUUUUUCAUUUAUCUUUCUUGUACCCAUAGUUAAAAAAAAAAAAAGCAUUUCACAGAGGUAAGGUUAAGGCUAGAGGCUUAUGUGGUCAGAACAUUUGAGCUCUUCUUGUAAAGGUUCAAGUGAACCUUGUCCUUCCCCAUCUCUGCUUCCUCAGGAAUGAGUUUUCAAAUAUUUCAUUCCAUUUCACUAAAAUCUAGCAAGGCUGGGUCAAGGGCCAAAUAUCUUUGUUCUAAUUCCCGCUCUGCAAAUGAGUACGCAAGUCUCCCCCACCUGCUGACAGAGUCAUCAUAUAGCACAGUGGCAAUGGCUGGCCAUAGACAUUAUCACAGAUAUCACAUUGGAAAUAUUUGUGAAUGACAAUGGGUCAGAUGCCUCAGAUAAAGCUAUCGCAAAAGAUGUAAUCACUGUAGCUAUUAGACUGACAGAAGAAAAUCUAUCAGAGCAAUUCCAAGGAUGCAACUGUGAAGGAUAAGUUGUUCUUCUGGGAAUGUGAGUGUCCCUUGCAGGAACACUGAUGGAGAAUCUCAAAGCCCUGAAGCCCUUAGGGGAUUCAAAGGUUUGAGUUGGCUUCAGCAGCAGCACCACAGGGUAGGCAGAUGUGGGAGGAUGGAAGUUCUUCCUGGGAGCAAGUGAACAGGGGUGAACAAUUUCAGAACUACAGUCUGAGAUCUCACUGAAAAAGCCAUUCAUCCAGAAGACAGGAAAUCAAGAACAGGUCUAGGAUACAGAAAAACUGGGGUCAGUUGGUAAAGAUGGUGGCCAUAGCCCUUAAUCCUCUGAUCCUAUUUUUCACAUAUUUUUCAAUGUUGAGCUUUGUUUCAUUUAUAACUUUUUUUUUUUAAGAUACAGGUAAGGGGCUCACUCUCUCACCCAGAUUGGAAUGCAGUAGUGUGAUCUCAGCUCACUGAGCCUCGACCUCCUAGGCUCAAGCAAUCCUCCCACUUCAGCAUCCUGAGUAACUGGGACUACAUGCACGCACCAUUACACCUGGUUAAUUUUUAUAUUUUUUUUUAUAGAGACGGGACUUUGCCAUGUUGCCUGGGCUGGUCUGAAACUCCUGGCCUGAAGUGACCCACUUGCCUCAGCCUCCCAAAGUGGUGGGAUUAUAGGCUUGAGCCACUACACCCGGCCCACAACUAACCUUUCUUGAGCACUACCUAGGUGUAGGGACCAGUCUCAAUGCUUUGCUUGCAUUAAUACAUGUAAUCCUCACUAUGCUAUGAUUCUGGUAUUAUUAUCAUCCCAUUUUACAAAUGAGAAAAAUUGGAUGCAAUUAAGGUUGUAAAUCUUUCCCAAUGAGUGAAUGGGCAAACAAGGAGGAGAAUGCAGGCCAUUUGUAUUGAAUUGUACCAUGUGCUUCCUCCAUGCAGGCAGGUGGAAGGGGACGAAUAGAAAGGGAAGCAGGAGGAUGUGUGGUGCUAUGGGCACCUUUGCAUGGGAACAGAGCAUCUUGAGUGGGUGGUUUCAACUCAGAAAAGGAAGGCAGGCUACAUGGGAGGAUAAGAAGAAUUGAUAAGAGAGACAACUCAGUACUUCACUGUAGGUGAAGAAAAGGAAGAGUGGCUGAACUCAGAGUAGUGGCAGAGCAAUGAGGAGAGAAAGUUUGGAGAGAAGGGAUCCUGUGUCUUAGGGAGAAAGAAUUUAAGGAAUUUGAUGACUAGGAGGUGAUUCCACCCACCCCUGACCAGACGUCCACUGCCACUCUCUGGUGGUACCUGGUUGUGUUAAUUCUUCCCAGUGGGAAAACCUGUAGAGUGCUGCCUUCUCUGUGGGUGUGCUGGCUCUGAUCACUGCCUCCUCUCUUCCUGCAGCUCAUGGGGACCCAGCUGUGAUGGCAGUGCUGAUCCACAACCCAACAGUAUGGGCUUUCUCCACCCACACUCUUUCUGGGUAAUUGCUAGGGAAGAUUCACAUCACUUCAGGAUUCUUCAAUGGACCCACUUAAACAUGAGUUAAGUAACUACCUAUGGAAGCAUUCAUUUGUUGUGUGCUUCCUGGAUAUCAGGCACCAUGACUAGCACUGUGCAGGCCCUCUCUUGCUUCUUAAUUCUCACAGCAAACCUUAAAAAAGUAUAUUACAAUCCCUGUAUUGAUAAUGAAGAAACCAAGAUGCAGAGAGGUUAAAUAGUUAUUCAUCUGUCAUUCAGCUUGGAAGUGCCAGAGAGGCAAUGAUUGACUUGUGUCUAGAGCCUACUACCUGGAAGGCCAGACCAAACCCCCUGUGUCACCAGCAACUCAUGCCUUGCACACCAUGCACCAAGAAGUGUAUCCUUCAUCCAUCUGUUCAUAUUAAUUCCAUAUUUUCUGACUUCUUCUCUGGGAAGAACCUGUACUAGGCCCUGGAGAAUCAAAGAUGAAAGAGAUACAGCUCCACUUAUGAAUGGCAUGAGGAUCUCUGAUGUUCAAAGAGUGGACAAGAAAAAGAAACCUAAGAGGCUUGGAAGAGAGGACAACAUCUUACUCUUUUGCCCUGGCUGGAGUGCAGUGGUGUGAUCAUGGCUCACUGUUGCCUUGAACUCCUAAGCUCAAGAAAUCUUCCUGUCUUAGCAGCCUGAGUAGCUGGGACCAUAGGUACAUGCCAUCAUACCUGGCUCAUCUUUUAUUUUUAUUUUUGUAAAGAUAGAGUCUCGCUAUGUUGCCCAUGAUGGUCUCAAGCUCCUGGCCUCAACAAUUCUCCUGCCUUGGACUCCCAAAGCACUGGGAUUACAAGCAUAAGCCACUGUGUACAGCCCUGUAUCUGUACAUUUUCACAUUGCCUGGUAAUAUGCGUGUCUUACCCCCCAGUUGUAAAUCUUUUAAAAUAUAGACAGUAUCUCAUUGUUGCUCAUUGUUGCUCCUGUAGCAGUACCUAUCUCAUCACAUGGUGAUUAAUAUAAAUAAUCAAUGUGUAAUCAGUAUGGCUGGAUGGUUAAGUGACUGAAUGGAAAUGAAGGGCAUUCCAAGUGGAUGGAUCUAUAGGAGCAAAGGCCUUCAAGCGGAAGUUUAAGAUAUGUGAAAAAAAAAUACUAGGAGACAAGGUCCUAAAGGAAAAUUAGUGCUAUAUCCUAGGGAUGUCAGGCUGAGAAUUAGAAAAUAUAUCUUGGACACAAUAGGCAAUCAUCGAUCAACAGAAUAUUCCUGUGGUUAUACUGCAUUCACCCUUUUUUUUUUUUUUUAAGAGAAGACCUACCUCUAUAUUUGCUGGAUAUAGGAUUCAAAAGAGAACUCGCAACCUUUGCACAUGAUCUUAUCUCCUUGCUACAGCAAUUGUUCAAAGGGUGGACACUGAACUAACCAGAGAAUGCUGCCUUCUUGUUUAUCCAAGGAUGUUGUUGGGCUCAGAAAAUAAUAUCCCAAAUGGUGCUUUGGCAUGCUGAGCACUUUGAAUUUUGAAUUAAAGGAAAUUGGAAGGCCUUAGAAGCUGCCUCAAAAUCAAAAUCUUUCUGACCUUUCCUUGUUUCUGUCCCCAAGUGUGGGGAGGGGCUCUCUCUGAGUUCCUUUAUCUGACUCAGAAGUACUUCCAAAAGAAACAUAAUUGCCUUCAAUCUCCUGUCUGAAAUCUCAUUAACUAGGAAAGAUUAAUCACUGAAGAAGAAACUAAAGGUUAUGCCACACUCCCUUUAACAGACUUUUCAUCUAUUCUUCUGAGGGUGGCUAUCUGAAAGACUUUAUCUGCAUAAGAAAACCUUUGUUGGCCGUGCAGUUCUGCCCCUCACCUUCCCAUAACUUCUUGCCACCUCCCCCAGAGUCCAGAGGAAAUUUGUCCCAGGCUAUUGCCUGUUAUUGAGGCUCAUUCAUCUCCCCUAAAUAUUAUUUACUCUUUCUUUAAAAGUGCUUACACCUCCCACUUUUCUCUCCCCUAUGAAGAGGUAUUUAAGCUUCAAGCAUCUGGCCUCCUCCUUUGAAUUUCAAGCUAAGUGUGACUCCCAUGGGCUUUCACAUUAAUAAAUUUGAACAUUUUUCUCCUGUUAAUCUGUCUGUUGCUAGUUUAUUUUAGCAGAUGUAGAGAUGAAAGCCUUCAGAAAGCAAUGUUAGAAUUCCUUUUGUGCCUACGAUGUGCACAUAACCAAACUCAGGUCAAUCAAGGGACUUCUCUGGGAUAAUUUUCUAACCUGCACCAGGAAAAGAAGUGUCUUUCCCUAUAAGGGUAUAUGCUGUCAUUGGCUAGGUUCCCCAUCAUGGACAAAAAGUGGGUCUAAAGUUAAAGAAACUCAAUGCAACAUGCAAAGAAGAACAAAGAUAAGAAGGAGCAAGAGAAGUACUUGGUGCCUGUUGUCAGGCUACUGCCCUUUUACCCAGGUAGGCCAGUUGAAUCUGGGCCUCUAUAACCUACAAUCAGGUACUUGUGAUUGCAUAGCUUCUUUCUCAUUGCAACAGCACCCUGGACUUUAAGGAGAGUCCAGGAAUGACUCUCUGGCUCAACAACACAUGUCUCAUCACUACAUGCUGCCCAGAGAUUUAUUUCAAAAGGGAGACUAUAAUACCAAGGGGAGCUUCCCCUAAGAGUCAUCAACAUGAAGCCCAUCAUGUCUAUGUCCCCAUUUAUUCUCUUUUUAAAUGCUAAACUUCUUUAAAUAGUUAUAAAUAGAAGAUUUCAAACAGGAGAGAUGAUAUACAGAUACAGAGAUAAACUAAACCAGAUUAGGUGUUUAAAAGAUGUAAUAAAAUAGCAUCCUUUUCACCAGAUUUUUGAAGACAGUGACAAGGGGUGUUGGGAACUGUGCAUUAGAAGUAUAACGCUAUAGAAAGACUUUUGUAUCUAUUUCAGAAUUUUUGCUAUGUAAUACAAUAACAGUAAGAAAAGAAGCAAGAGCUAGCUGAGAGACCUAAUUUUAAAAAAAGACAUUUCAGACUUCUCUUGGCACGAAUUUGCAUCUUAUUAACAUCGAGCUGAUAAGAGGUCUUAUUUUCACAUUUAUUGCAGAAAGAAUUAUCUCUUUUCAAUGAUACUUGAGUCCAAUAUUAUACACAUAGCACAUGAAAUGCAGAUGAAGUUUCAAGCCCAUCAUAUCCAAGGUUUGACAAGAAUAAGUGAGAUGACAACAAUUAAACAUAAUUUCUGAAGCCACAGACCAAGUGUCAUUUAAUUUAUGUAGUCUUCCCAAGUAACCCUGGAAGAAUUAAUCACUUCCUCUUUCUGGUCCAAUAACAUUUUUGAACACACUUUUAUAUAUAAGGUAGACUGUGUUAGAAGCAGCAUAGAGUCACAAGUUGAAAUACCAUUGUUGUUUCCUUCACUGCAAAAUGGAUAUAUUGUAGAAUAUGCAAUCUACAAUUUGAGAGAGAAAAAAACAAGAAAAAAAUGCAAUAUAAGGUAAUUAUCAAAAUUUCUGGCAUUAAGUAAAUUCUCCUAAAUUAGUCAGUAUAAUAGUUCCCUUUUUUUGGUUCAGAUACAAAAGUUGGCCAGCCCUCUCCUGCCCACCAACAUAUCACUCCAAAAUAACCACAGUGAUAAUGACUAGGUGUCUAUUUUUAAUUUUUUCAAAGAAAAUAGGUGAUGAGAAAUGAACCCUAUCCUAUUUGAGGAGACUCUCGACAGGUGACCAGACUUUAACCUAACUGCAUGAUUAUCUAAAUACAGAGAUAACAUAAAUAAAUAGCAAGAAACAGCAUACCCAUCAACAACUGUCGUUUUGCUUUCUUCUUCUAUAUGGUUAUGGAACAUGUGUUGUUCUCCACAUUAUGGUGCAAGGUACUUAUUGUGAUGCCACUUUCAAUGCCAAACUAUAGUAGUGUGUUCAGAAUUUAAUGCAAAUGAAAAUAUAAAAGUAGUAUUAUAAACAGUUUAUGUGGAUGAAUGCAGCUAUUUUUUCCUAAACUGAAUGUGGCUCUUUCCUAAACUGAUUAUUGUGAGUUUUCUGACUUUCUUCUAUAGUCUAUCUUCUUAAAUAUUAUAUCAGCUAUCAGUUACUUCUCAAAGUCUAUCUGCUUUAAUCAAUUCUGAACAUGUUAUUACUAUCUUAAAGCAAGAAUACAUAAGAUCUAAAUGAAGCCUGGAAAAUGCAUUUAUCCAAAAAAAUGUGAAUGUAGUGCAAGCAUUUUUUGAUGUGUAUUUUGGCUUUUGCUUACCACUUCUGCUUUAAAUAAUUGACGUUGACUUAAACACUUCUGAUAAGAUGUCCUACAUGCUUAUAAUCUAUUUGUCAUAUAUACUUUUUAGGAUGAUAUAAAGUACAUGAAGCAAAAAGAUGACAUCAUCUAAUCGUGUUACUGUGAGCAGAGAAGAAUUCAAAUUCAGGCAUCCAGGGUAACCAAUUUUAUGGGACACAUGUGACUCAGCCUUAGCCUCCUUCUCUACAAUUACAUUUCCCCACCUGGGAUUUCACAGAUCAGCAGUAAACAAACUCCAAGUUUCAUUUCCGUAAAGUGACAGAAGAUGGGUCCCCUGAGUGAAGACGGCCUUCUACCCUUCAUCUGAGAAAUUUAAACCAGUAGAUUUGAUAAUAAAUGUUAAGGGUAUUCAAUUAACAUACAAAGUGGCAGCUGGAAAGGGCACCGCAGACAGAUGUCUGGCUAGAGUCAGUUCUGUGCCCAGGAGAGACAAAGUAGCUAAUAAAUGCUGUUCUCUAUUUAUGUGUUGACUUCUGAGACACUCCACUUUGAGUGUUUUCUUGGUAAAGAGUUCAUCUGAUCUCAAGAACCCACCCCCCAAGGAGGGAAAGUCCAUUGUCUUUGCCUUAGAUUGGCAGGUAGAGUAAAUGAAAAAUUAAGAAAUUAUGUGAAUUCCCCCAAAGAGAAGAGAAGGGCUAGAGUGACUAUUUUAUGUUACGUGGAGAUGAGGGUGUGCUUAUUCUUUCAGCUGACAUAAUCUAUUAACAUAUGUAAAAUGCUUAUAAAGAGUCUCCAGCACAUGUUAAGUGCUGAAUAACACAGCCACCACCACCACCAGCAUCACAUACUAUUGACAGGCAUUGUACUAACUUCCUGGGAUUCAAACAUUAAACAUACAUAUUAAACAUAUGUACAAAUAAAACACCUCUAUGUGUUCAAAAAAUACACGUAUACAAAUGAAUAAGUCCAAUAGACUUCUGUGAAAAGUGAAUCUACAAAGACUCACAUAAAAUCAUGGUUAUGGCUGGUAGACUAGCAGGUUAAGUGAAGGAGGUCUUCAAGGAAGAGUUAGCACAAUCUAGGAACUGUUCACCAAGCAGGUAAGAGAAAAAGACCUUCACAAACACGGAAGAAACAAACACACCCUGGUAAACUUGGGGAAUUAUAAGAAGCCCAGUUUGACUGUUGACUCUGAUGUGAUGAGUUAAGGGAAAGAAAUGAGGCUAGGAGGAGGUAAACUUGUGGGCUCACUUUGUGGAAGUCUUUGCUGCCCUACUAAGGAAUUGGAGCUGUAUGUCAUAGAAAUCCAUUUGACAAUUUCAAGGGGGCCAUGUUACAGGAUCUCUAAAGAUAGCAUGCCCUUCAAUUUGCAAAAACACAUGCCAUUUAAACUCCCUGUGCUGACUUCCUCACUAAUAGAGUGAAGGUUAUUAUGGAUGGAAGGAGUAACAUGAUAGAAGCAAAAGCAACGCUAAAACAUUACAGGGAUGUAUGAUAUACUAGUUUAUUUUCACACUACUAUAAAGAACUACCUGAGACUGGGUACGUUAUAAAGAAAAGAGGUUUAAUUGACUCACAGUUCCACAUAGCUGGGGAGGCCUCAGGAAACUUACAAUCAUGGAGAAAGGCCAAGGGGAAGAAAGGCAUGUCUUACAUGGCAGCCAGGGAGAGAGAGCAAGGAUGAAAUCAUCAAAUCUAGUGAGAACUCACUAUCCCGAGAACAGCUGAGGGAAAUCCAACCCCAAUGAUCCAGUCAUCUCCCAACAGGUCCCUCCCCUGACACAUGUGGAUUAAAAUUCUACAUGAGAUUUGGGUGGGGACAAAGAACCAAACCGUAUCAAGGGAAAUCACAGAAUUUUGUGUUGUCAUCAAAAAUUUGAAAAAAGCAGGGUGGAGGUGAGUCUUAUCACAUCUCCAUUUAACUUGCCUGUCUGAUUCUUAUAGAAGUUGGAUGGGUUUCAGACACAGCCAAUGGAUUAUUGCAAACAAAACAGAGUUGACUCCAAAAUUGCUAUAGCUAUUCCAGCUGUAGUCAUUUUACUGGAUCAAAUAAACACAGCUUAGGAACGUAGUAUGGAAUUACUCAAAAAAAUUAUUUACUUCUAUCCCAGGGAUCCACAAGCAAUACCCAUGGGUAAAAUCUGAUCCUCAGUUUUUAUAAAUAAAGUUUUAUUGGAACACAAUCAUGCCCAUUCCCUAACAUAUUGCCUAUGGCUACUUUUAUGCCACAGUGACAGAGUUGAAUAGCUGCAAGAAAGAUUGUGGCUCACAAAGCUUAAACUAUUUAGUAUCUAGCUCUUUUUAGAAAAAGUUUGUUGACACCUGCCCUAUCAUAAUGAAGACGAGAAGCAGGCUGCUUUCACGUAGCAUAAACAUCAGUAUACCUCUCCUGAAACUAUCCCAGGCCAUGAUAACUCUUAUGUGCUCUUCAAAACUCAGUCCACAGAAUUUUGAUCAUUUUAAUAUGCCACAGAACAUCUUACUGGUCCACAUACACAUUUGGUUUCUUGCUGAUAGGAUCUGGUGAUCAGAAAAUAGAAAGUGCCUCUGAAAGAGAAAACCUGCAUGAUCUUGCUUGUUUAUAGAUUAUAAGUGUCAAACUCUUAUAAGCAAGUUGAAUGGUGGUUACUAGAGGCUGGGCUAGGGGUGGAGGGGAAGACCGGGGAGAUGUUAGUCCAAGAAUACAAUAUUUCAGAUCAACCAGAGAAAAAGGUUCAGGAUAACUAUAUUAUACAAUACAGGGACUAUGGUUAAUAAUAAUAAUGUAACAUACUUGAAAAUUGUGAAGAGAGUAGACUUUAAGUGUUUUCACCAUAAAAAACAUUUUUAAGGUAAUGGAUAUGUUAAUGAGUUUGAUUUAGUCAUUACACAAUGUAUACACUUAUCAAAACAUUAUAUUGUAUGCCAUAAAUGUAUACAACUUUUGUCAAUUAAAA